GAAAGCCACCAUGUUGGGUAAA
rnacentral:piRNA from 1 species